AAAAGCUUCACAGCAAAUGAAAUGGGAUUUCCAUUACAAUUUAUAUUUCAAAGGGUCAUAACUGGUUAAAAAUAUUUGAUUACGACUUUUUUUCCAAAUUGUCAAAGACAUUGCUUAUGAUAUGAGUUUCACUUAAUCUGACAAGAAUUGUACACAUGAGAGUGCUAACAAGACCGGACGAUUGGACGCCCGGAAUUUGUAUGUCUCCUGCAACGCGUUUAGCUCAGUAAUCAAAAAUCAAAAACCCAAGGUUGUAGACUCAAAUUCCUGGUAAGAGAAAUCACUUCAGUUCCUAUAUUCCGAAGUUCCUAAAUUAUACAGAAGUGCCGCUGUAAUGGGGUCCGUUUUUGAUAUGUAAAAUAUAAGAUUGGGUGGGAAACUUUACAUCAAAUAUUUAUGAAUUGAAUGAUGGUAGUUUCGAGGAAACAAUAAAAUUUGGUUAAAAAUAUAAAUAUAUGAAUUGGUGGGUAUUUUGAAUUUAAACAAAAAUCUAACUAGUGUCGGAUUCUGGGGAGUACAUGUAAAAAAUAAUUUUCUGCAUAAAAAAGCUCCAAAUUUUUUUUCGCCUCGCUCCGCUCGGCGAAACAUCCACAUCAUUUCAACCCUGGCUACGCCACUGU
rnacentral:lncRNA from 1 species